ACGUUGUAUCCUUUUGAUGUGUGUGUACGCCCUAAUCUAUAUGGUUGAUAGUCUAGAAAAAUUGGGGAUUGAUUAUCAUUUCCAAGAGGAAAUCCAGACAGUAUUGGAUCAAACAUACAGAUUGUGGCAGCAGCAGGAGGAUGAUAUAUGUUUGGAACCCACCACAUGUGCUGUGGCAUUUCACUUACUAAGCUCGCAUGGAUAUGAUGUUUCUUCAGAGGCACUAAGUCAAUUUUCAGAAGACAAAUUCUGCAACACCCUACAGGGAUAUUUGAAGGAUGUUGAUUCUGCUUUGGAGUUACAUAAGGCUUCCCAGAUUGUUCUUCAUUCCACAAAUGAUUCAGUUCUGCACGAACUAUAUACUCUUGGACCAGACUCUUCCCGGACAAAUAUUGGUCCUCGUCAUCAACACCUGAUCAUAAACCUCUUAAUUAUAUUGACCAUGAGUUACGUUUUGCUGUGCGGUAGCCUCAUCAUACGUAUUUGGAUUGUAUAUUAAACAGAAGAUCUAUAGAGCAUUAAAAUGUGGAUCAGAAGAGAACUCUGAAAACUUCUUACAGUUGUUUGAAUCUAGCAAAUAAGGAAUUUCUCGAGCUAGCGGUGGAAAACUUCAUUCAUCGCCAAUCGGUAAUUCAUGAAGAAUUCAAGCAAUAUCAGAGGUGGUUUAGGGAGAGUGGGAUGGACAAAUUGGAGUUUCCGAGAGCUAAAGUAGCGUAUUGCUACAUAAUAGCCCUUGUAGGAAAUGGCUCGCCUGAACUGAGCGAGGCUCGUCUGUCAUGGGCAAAGAGCGGACUCAGCUUAGGAAUUGUUGAUGAUUUCUUUGAUGUUUGGGGCUCUCAAAGAGGAACAGAUCAACCUUUUACACCUCAUGGAGAAAUGGGACGUAGAUGUGAGGGCAGAAUGUUGUUCUGAGACUGUCAAGAUAUUAUUCUUACCGCUGAAGGGAAUCAUUUGUGAGGUUGCAGACCAAGCAUUUAAGGUUCAAGGACGAAGUGUGUUGUGCCACGUGCUUCAGCUUGUGAGACAAUUUAUCAUCAAUCAUAUAAAUUUGCUAUCGAACAUAUUGUAACUUGAAUCAUAAGAGUUGAUGCUUGUUGCGGUGGGCGGAAGUGUUGAGAACAUUUUCAAAGGAAGCAGAGUGGGGGAGAACCAAGCAGGUGCCAACGUGGGAGGAAUAUUUGCCCAAUUCAAUAAAAUCAUUUGCUAUUGGAAUACUCAUCCCAGGGCUGUAUCUUGUGGGACCUAAGCUUUCAGAAGAGAUCAUUCAAAGUGCUGAGUUCAAUCAACUCUUCGAGGCCCUUGGCUUUUCUGGGCGUCUCCUCAAUGAUAUCAAUGGCUACCAAAGGGAAAAAGAACAAGGAAAGUUCAACUCAAUAACGGUUGAACUCAUGCAUGGGUCAGGGGCUAUGGGUGAAGAAGAGAUCAUAGAGAAGCUGCAGAGAAUGGUGGAUGAGAAGAGAAAACAACUGUUGAGAUUAGUUGUGAAGGAAGAAGGAAGCAUAGUGCCAAGAAAUGUGAAGCAUUUGUUUUGGAAUUGGUGCAAAUUGUUUCACCUGUUUUACAAGAAGGACGAUGUAGCGCAUGCCACCGAGCUAGCAGACGAGUUUUCCACCACCAAUGAUCUAUUAAUGAGCAAUCCCAUUCUUCUGAAAUAAGUCAAUUUUUUUCCCCUUUCCGUCAAGGAAAUGAACUGAAUCUGAGAUCGUAUUUUAUCAAUGAACAAAUUUAUUUAUGCUACUAGGUGAUCAAUUGUAUCCCAAAAAAACUUAUCAGGAUAUGAAGAU